CCUUCUCUGUCUCUGCCUCUCUCCGUCUUUUCUCCGCUUUCUCCUUCUGUAGUCUCUCUCUUCUGUCCGCCUCUCGUUACAGUGGUGGCCCUGAUCAACUUUUUAUAAAUUACUAUUUUCAAUUGCCAAUCAUUGUUUUUUUUUUUACCUCUCCCCCCUUUCCCCCCCCCUCCCCGGGAAACAAAAGAAAAAAGCGCUGCUGGGACCCGCCUUGACCUACAAACCGGAAACACUCCCCUGCCUUCAAGGCGCUUAUAUUCUGCCCGAGAAGUAUGUAAAUACACAAAUAAGAGAAACUGGACCCCCAAGCGUUACAUCCAAGACUUGACCCCUUUCCCACCAAGUACUGAUUCCACAACGAAUAGCAAUUAGCCAAGAAAUACUUUUAUCCAAAUCAUAGCAACACAGAAAUCAAAGGAGGUAUACACAGGAGGAUGUGUACAAAGUGAAGGAGCUCUCCCAUUGGAAGCAAGGAGCCAUUGAAUUCUGUUUGCUUCAUUCUAUUUUUCAGAGAGUCUACUACUUAGCAAGGAACUGUUCAUGUCCAUGGUGAAUAUCAGUGGUAACAUCACUCCCAGCCCUCUCCUUUCCAUGUCAACAACAAGAGGAAUGAAGCAGCAAGAACCACAAAAGAAAUAGUUCUUAGUCGGCACAACUAAAAGUCAGUGGGCACAAGGGAUUAGCCCUAGACAAAGCUGUUAAAAAAAUUGAAAUUCAUCUUUGUGUCAUACAUACAUACAAACACACCCUUCUCCUUACCUCUCUACCUUUUGUUGAUACUCUAACCCUAUAGAAUUUUUUCCCUCUACCCUUCCGCUUGGUACAAUGGAAUAAGAACUAGCUCUCCAGACAGAAGACCUGAGUUCAAACCCCAAAGAUUGUAUAAUGCUAAUAAA